UGUGACGUUGAAAAUUAUAAUUUACCUUUUUUUAGACAUGCUCAUUAACCGUAAUGCUAAUGGAUUUUCCACAUCAAUUUACCGAAAAAAGACGUCCACUGGUCUCCUUACACACUUUAAUAGCUUUAUCCCAUUUACAAAUAAACGAAACCUUGUUACAUGCUUACUAAAC